AUUGAACGCUGGCGGCAGGCCCAUCACAUGCAAGUCGAGCGGAUGAAGGGAGCUUGCUCCUGGAUUCAGCGGCGGACGGGUGAGUAAUGCCUAGGAAUCUGCCUGGUAGUGGGGGAUAACGUCCGGAAACGGGCGCUAAUACCGCAUACGUCCUGAGGGAGAAAGUGGGGGAUCUUCGGACCUCACGCUAUCAGAUGAGCCUAGGUCGGAUUAGCUAGUUGGUGGGGUAAAGGCCUACCAAGGCGACGAUCCGUAACUGGUCUGAGAGGAUGAUCAGUCACACUGGAACUGAGACACGGUCCAGACUCCUACGGGAGGCAGCAGUGGGGAAUAUUGGACAAUGGGCGAAAGCCUGAUCCAGCCAUGCCGCGUGUGUGAAGAAGGUCUUCGGAUUGUAAAGCACUUUAAGUUGGGAGGAAGGGCAGUAAGUUAAUACCUUGCUGUUUUGACGUUACCAACAGAAUAAGCACCGGCUAACUUCGUG
rnacentral:rRNA from 1 species